AGCCUAGGCUAGUUUCUGGUUGCUGAGGGCAGACAGUGCAGUGUGGUAGAGUCCAAGGACCCGUGUGGCCCUGAGCACACACUCAGCCCAUAUAAGAAAUGCAAACAGGAUUCUGAGCCCAAGCAGCAUGGAGAGAACAGAGAGGGAUUUGAGAAAAAUUGUCCUUGGUUGCUUAUUGUUCUUGCACCUUGUUGUCAUGCCCCUGUCCUGGACAAACCCCACCACCUGUUUUCUCCAUUUCUAUACCAAGACAGUGCAGCACAGGUAAUGAAAGCUCACACAACAGAGCAGAUUGCCGCAUUCUAAAUUCCUGAUCACCAAUCUCCAAGACAGCAGGGGUCCUACCAGAACUUGUGGGCUGACUUUUCCUUUACUAUCCCUAGAAAGUUUUCACACUUUUAAUGUGCGGAAGCAUGCCUCUUCUCCCUCACUCAGUAAUUCUAAAGUCAAACUUUCCUGUUUAUUUUGCAGUAUCUAUAAAUUCAUGUAAUGGGGUGAGACACAGUACAGAGAGGGUCCCUGGACCCUGUAUCCAGUCUCCUGCAGAACCAGCCUCUUGCAGAGUUACAGUACAGUUCCAAAGCCAGGAGACCACAAUGGGCACAGCCAAGGGAGAGAAUGUUUUGGACCUCACAAGACUUCAUGUCACCCUCAUAGAGCCACACCCAUUCCCUCUGACAGGACUCCAGUCUGUCCCACGGCUCCAUGACUGUCACAUCCUGAAUGUCAUUUGUGUGCAGUCACACAGAGUAGGUGCCCCGGGGACUGGGUUUUAUCAGUCAGCAUGGUUCUCUGGAGAUUCCUAUAGGUCACUGUGCAUACCCAUAGUUCCUAUAGGUCACCGUGCGUACCCAUAGUUUCUGUAGGUCACUGUGUACCCAUAGUUCCUAUAGGUCAGUGUGCAUAUCCAUAGCUCCUAUAGUCACUGUGCAUACUCAUAGUUCCUAUAGGUCACUGUGUGUACCCAUAGUUCCUAUAGGUCACUGUGCAUACUCAUAGUUCCUAUAGGUCACCGUGUGUACCCAUAGUUCCUAUAGGUCACCAUGCAUACCCGUAGUUCCUAUAGUUCACCAUGCAUACCCAUAGUUCCUAUAGGUCACCAUGCAUACCCGUAGUUCCUAUAGUUCACCAUGCAUACCCAUAGUUCCUAUAGUUCACCAUGCUUACCCAUAGUUCCUAUAGGUCACCAUGCAUACCCAUAGUUCCUAUAGGUCACUGUGCGUUCCCAUAGCUCUUAUAGGUCACUGUGCGUACCCAUAGCUCCUAUAGGUCACUGUGCGUACCCAUAGCUCCUAUAGGUCACUGUGCGUACCCAUAGUUCCAUCCUUUGUAUUAACAUCCGUGGGAUGGAUGGUCUGGUAUUGCUCACUAAGGUCCAUCAGGGUUGAUUCCAGUUCUUGCCUAUUAAAAAUUAAGCUGCUAUAGAUAUGAAGUAUUUUAUAUGAAUGUAGGAAUUAAUUUUUGAGGGAUAAAAACCUCUGGCACUUUCACAUUUAAUUUAUUAUUAAUUUAGUGUUGAGAGACUACCAAGCUGGUUGCCCAUGUAGCUGUACCAUUUCAUAGUCUCAUUAGCAAGGUAGAGUUGAUUCAGUUUCUCCACAUCCUUGCUAACAUUGCAUAUUUUAAGUGAUUUUUAUUUGAGCCAAUUUGAUAGGUCUAUACUGAUGUCCCAGGUGGUUUUUAUUUGCAUUUCCCUCAUGGAUAAUGAUAUUAUCAUGGGCUUAUUUCCCAACUGCAUACUUCUUAGGUGGAAUGCAUGUUUUCUAUCUGGAUUCUUAUUUUAGUGUUCAGUUGUGAGAGUUUUUUACAUUUUCUACAUAGUCCUUUGUCAUCUGUGUUCUUUGUAAAUACAUGUCUUAAAGUGUUUACCUCAUUCUUUUUUAAAUUUUUU